GACGAACGCUGGCGGCGUGCUUAACACACGCAAGUCGAACGGAAAGGCCCUGCUUUUGUGGGGUGCUCGAGUGGCGAACGGGUGAGUAACACGUGAGUAACCUGCCCUUGACUUUGGGAUAACUUCAGGAAACUGGGGCUAAUACCGGAUAGGAGCUCCUGCUGCAUGGUGGGGGUUGGAAAGUUUCGGCGGUUGGGGAUGGACUCGCGGCUUAUCAGCUUGUUGGUGGGGUAGUGGCUUACCAAGGCUUUGACGGGUAGCCGGCCUGAGAGGGUGACCGGCCACAUUGGGACUGAGAUACGGCCCAGACUCCUACGGGGGGCAGCAGUGGGGAAUAUUGCACAAUGGGCGGAAGCCUGAUGCAGCAACGCCGCGUGCGGGAUGACGGCCUUCGGGUUGUAAACCGCUUUCGCCUGUGACGAAGCGUGAGUGACGGUAAUGGGUAAAGAAGCACCGGCUAACUACGUG
rnacentral:rRNA from 1 species